rnacentral:rRNA from 1 species
GACGAACGCUGGCGGCGUGCCUAACACAUGCAAGUCGAACGGAGCUAAAGAGCUUGCUUUUUAGCUUAGUGGCGGACGGGUGAGUAAUGCGUGAGCAACCUGCCUAUCAGUGGGGGAUAACUUCCGGAAACGGACGCUAAUACCGCAUAUAGUACAUAAUCCGCAUGGAUAAGUGUAUGAAAGGAGCAAUCCGCUGAUAGAUGGGCUCACGUCCGAUUAGUUUGUUGGUGAGGUAACGGCUCACCAAGACUGCGAUCGGUAGCCGGGCUGAGAGGCUGAACGGCCACAUUGGGACUGAGACACGGCCCAGACUCCUACGGGAGGCAGCAGUGGGGGAUAUUGCACAAUGGGGGAAACCCUGAUGCAGCAACGCCGCGUGAGGGAUGAAGGUUUUCGGAUUGUAAACCUCUGUCCUUAGUGAAGAAAAAAAUGACGGUAACUAAGGAGGAAGCUCCGGCUAACUACGUGCCAGCAGCCGCGGUAAUACGUAGGGAGCGAGCGUUGUCCGGAUUUAUUGGGUGUAAAGGGUGCGUAGGCGGCUAUGUAAGUCAGACGUGUAAUGCAGAGGCUUAACCUCUGAACUGCGUUUGAAACUGUGUAGCUUGAGUGGAGUAGAGGCAGAUGGAAUUUCCAGUGUAGCGGUGAAAUGCGUAGAUAUUGGAAGGAACACCAGUGGCGAAGGCGAUCUGCUGGGCUCUAACUGACGCUGAGGCACGAAAGCAUGGGGAGCAAACA